rnacentral:tRNA from 1 species
GCUUGUCUAGCUUAGUCGAUAAAGCACAAAGCUCUUAACCUUGUGGUCAUGGGUUUUAAGCCCCAUGGUGGGUG